rnacentral:rRNA from 1 species
AGUGAACGCUGGCGGUAGGCCUAACACAUGCAAGUCGAACGGCAGCACAGUAAGAGCUUGCUCUUACGGGUGGCGAGUGGCGGACGGGUGAGGAAUACAUCGGAAUCUACUUUUUCGUGGGGGAUAACGUAGGGAAACUUACGCUAAUACCGCAUACGACCUACGGGUGAAAGCAGGGGAUCUUCGGACCUUGCGCGAUUGAAUGAGCCGAUGUCGGAUUAGCUAGUUGGCGGGGUAAAGGCCCACCAAGGCGACGAUCCGUAGCUGGUCUGAGAAGAUGAUCCGCCCGACUGGAACUGAGACACGGUACACACACCUACGGAGGGCCGCAGUGGAGAAUAUUGGACAAUGGGCGCAAGCCUGCUCCAGCCAUACCGCGUGGGUGAAGAAGGACUUCGGGUUGUAACGCCGUUUUGUUGGGAAAGAAAAGCAGCAGGUUAAUGCACCGCUGUUCUGACGGUACCAAAAGAAUAAGCACCGGCUAACUUCGUG